rnacentral:rRNA from 1 species
UCGCCUGUUUAACAAAAACAUGUCUUUUUGAAUUUUUUUUAAAGUCUGACCUGCCCACUGAAUAAUUUUAAAUGGCCGCAGUAUACUAACUGUGCAAAGGUAGCAUAAUCAUUAGUCUUUUAAUUGAAGGCUGGUAUGAAUGGUUGGACGAGAUAUUAACUGUUUCAUAAAAAUUUAUAAUAGAAUUUUAUUUUUUAGUCAAAAAGCUAAAAUAUAUUUAAAAGACGAGAAGACCCUAUAAAUCUUUAUAUUUAGGUUAUUAUAAUUUCAUAGAUUUUUUUUGUUAUAAUAAUUGAUAAUAUUUUAUUGGGGUGAUAUUAAAAUUUGAUAAACUUUUAAUUGUUUAAAUCAUUAAUUUAUGAAUAAUUGAUCCGUUAUUAGCGAUUAAAAAAAUAAGUUACUUUAGGGAUAACAGCGUAAUUUUUUUGGAGAGUUCAUAUCGAUAAAAAAGAUUGCGACCUCGAUGUUGGAUUAAGAUAUAAUUUUAGGUGUAGCCGCUUAAAUUUUAAGUCUGUUCGACUUUUAAAUUCUUACGUGAUCUGAGUUCAGACCGGA